rnacentral:rRNA from 1 species
GAUGAACGCUGGCGGCGUGCCUAAUACAUGCAAGUCGAGCGAACAGACGAUGAUCUUGCUCCUCGGACGUUAGCGGCGGACGUGUGAGUCACACGUGUAUAACCUACCUAUAAUUCUGGUAUAACUUCGGGAAACCGGCUCUAAUACCGUAUAAUAUAUUGAACCGCGUGGGUCAAUAGUAAAAGACGGUUUUUGUGUCACUUAUAGAUGGUUCCGCGCCGCAUUAGAUAGUUGGUAAGGUAACGGCUUACCAAGGCGACGAUGCGUAGACGACCUGAGAGAGUGAUAGGCCACACUGGAACUGAGACAGGGUCCAGAGGACUGCGGGAGGGAGCAGUCGCGAAUCUUCGGCAAUAGGCGAAAGUCUGACGGAGCGAGCCGGAGUGAGUGAUGACGGCCUUCCGAUCGUAAUACCCUGUUAUUAGGGAAGAACAACUGUGUACGUAAAUAUGGACGUAUUGACGGUAACUAAUCAGAAAGCACCGGCUAACUACGUG